UUGUUUGAGACAAAGGAAAGUCUUCUCUGUUUUACCAAUGGACAAACAUUACAAUGAACUGAAUUAUGGUUUCCAUUCUUAUCACAACUCAAAUUUAGUUGAUCUUUUAAAAAGACCAACUUCUGAAAUAAUAAAUGACCUAAUUUGUGAUGCCAUGUACAAGUAUUCACUUUAUUUACAGCUGAGGAAAUGGAAACACAAACAUCAUCAAUCAAAGCGUUACUUUUAUUAUCUUGUGCUAAAUCACAUGAGGAAUCACUCAUUAUGUAUAAAUCAGCAAUUCUUUCACCCUUGCAAUUCAUCUUCUGGUUGUGUGCAUCCUGGAUAACAUUAGUAAUAAAGAAUCUAACUUCAAUGCAAGGAUCCCUGGUUAAUGAGCUAACUGACAUUAGGUUGAAUUUAAACUUUAGCACAUAUAACACAUCUUUAAGCAUCAGACUAUGGCCACAUUUCACAGUCCCAAUGAAUUUUACAGGAAUUCUCUUAUGGUUUGACAAAGUGACACAUACAUUCUUAAAGGUUUCAUAGUACUGAAAGUAGAUUGAUUGAAGCAUUAUGGCUGGUUGCCUCAGAAUCCACCACCAUUGUUGAGGUUAAAAUCAAUAGAGAAUCAAGCACCUGUCACCUGAUUAGAGUGUUCAUCAUUCCGUGUGUAAACUUUUGCAGAAGCCAGAUGAUUGCUCAACAUGUUCAUUAUUUGCUGGUAUUGAGUAGGGUUCAAAGAUUGCAUGAAAUCUCUUGCAUUACUCUGUACUCACUUUGAAAUAGACUCGAAAACUACCUGAUUUGCAACACAUGCCUUGACUGGCCGUUGGUAGCUCCUAAUUGGUCGGUAAAACCAGAUUUCUGCUUCUUCUUCUUAUAACUAGGAGGAUAUCCAUGUAAUUUGUAACAUUUAUCCACUGAAUGACUUGCUUGUCCACAAUAAGUACACAUGGGCCUUUCCUUCAUUUGAUGUGUCUGUCUUGAGCUGGUUUUCUUAGGAUCAGUUUUAGCAUAGAAUGCUAUAGAAUCUCCAGCGUUAGAAUUACUGGCAUUAAUGUUUAUAUUUCUUUGAUGUUCUUUUUGAGAAACAAGGGAAAAUACCUUGUUGAUAGGAGAUAUAGGAUUCACAAGUAACAAUUGCCCUCUGACUUAAGCAAAUGUAUCAUUCAGCCCUAUUAAAAAUGACAUAACACACUCUAUAUAAUAUUGUUCUGAAAACCACUACAAACACACUCCCCACACGAACAUAUUGGUCUGAAGUUAUUGAGUUCUUCCCAAAUUGUUUUCAAUUUGGUGAAAUAAGCACCAACAGAUGACUGACCUUGAGUGAGAUUCAUCCAUUCUCGUUUUAGUUGAAAUAUGCGAGGUCCAUUCUUCUGCUGAAACCUUUCUUUCAAAUCAAUCCAUACGACUCGGAGUAAAUGAAACUUGCAGAGAUCUCCUUAGAGACUGAGUUGAGAAUCCAUGAGAUAACCAUAUUGUUACUACGAAUCCAAUUGUUGAGCUGAUCAUCAUUGUCUUCAGGUUAGACAAUGAUCCAUCAAAAUAAUCGAGUUUGUUCUUCACGAAUAGAACUAUCACCAUGGCUCUACUCCAUGAAGCAUAAUUGUCACCAGUAAGAGGUUGUGAAACAAGCACAAGCCUCGGGUUGUUUUAAUGGUGAAUAUAGAAAGGACUAGACCCAUCAUCAGUGGUAGAAUCCUUAUUGAUGACGAGGAAUUGUUUGCUGCCGAUGCCAUUACAUGCCAAAAGAAAUUCAAUCGAAGAUUCAAUUGAAUUUCAGAGAAGCAGACAAUAGAAGCACAAAAGCUCUGAUACCAUAUUAAAAAAUGAAGCAGGAAAAAUGAAUUCCAUCGUAUUGAAUCGAAGAGAAAAUCAAAUCAGUACAUUGCAAGGUGGUGUGUAAUAGAAAAUGAUAUCAACAAACUAACCAACUCACUAACUCAACUGUACAAAGCAAUACAAGAUGGACAUGUGGACUUGAUCAACUAAUCUAACCACCUAACUGAUAGCUGGCUCCAGUGGCGCACCUCCUUGGUUCUUUCUGUUAUAUGGAGACAGCACAAACAGGGGCUGAUUCUAGAACCCAAGCGCCGGCCAAAGUGUAAGCAAAAAAGAGGGGAAGAUGGGUUGCACAAAGGAGCCAAAAUCCUGCCAUGAUCAAAGGAAGAAGCACAACAAUAGCCUGGCAAAGGAAUAACCUUGUGACAUACGUGUAUAAUGAAAAAAGGAGGCCAACAUAUGUAGUUCCAUUUAGGUUAAAUAAGUGGGUUGAGCCCUAAAUGAAACACUCGGUCCGUCUUAGAUUCGUGGGCUUCCAAUUGUGGUUUUGGGCUUACGUGAUUCAAUAUUCAAUCUCGAACUUCUAACGAAGCCUAUGAAUAAAAAAACCAACUCGAUUUGCUCAUUAUAGCCCCGAA
rnacentral:lncRNA from 1 species